AAUCCAUUUAAUAACUAGAUCUACUUUUAUAUUAAAAUUAGACCGUCUCUUAUACUAAUUUUUGUCAAACAAGUGAACUCUUAAGUAAAACUUAGAGGGCAAAUAAGUAAUUUAAAAGCAAACAAAGUUAUGGAAAAAGGGAAACCAUAGUAAUGAAUGAAUGAAUAGUAAAAAUUGCAAAUUCCCAAAGCACAAUUAGGCACUGAGAUUUAGUGACCUCAGUAAUUGUAGGUGGAAGGUUUAUUUGUUCCUAUUCCUAUAGCUCUUUAGGUCUUUGUUUUUACUGCCUUUUAAAGUUUUGACUUGAUACUUUUUACUCUGACUCCCAACAAUACCCUUCUUUUUAUUUAUUGUUAUAAAUCAGGGGUUGUGGGCGUAGGUGAAUUAGGGUUUCAUAUUAUAAAUAUGUGAGAUACAAAGAGUUUUUAGAGAGAGAAACUCAUAAACCUCAUCAAACAUAAAACUUUGAGGGGAAUGUUGGCUGGCUCGAGGCUUUGCUAUCAUCUACUCAUCAUCAUCAUACAUCUCAUGACCAUCAUGAUGAUCAUUAUCAUCAUGUAUGGAUGAUGAUCAUCAUGUAUGUAUGUAUGUAUGUAUGAUGAUGCAAAUUAAAAGAGGCUUCGGACCAGGCUUCAUUCCCCUCAAAAAAUAUCAUUAGUUGUUGUAUAUUUCUCUCUAAAUAUUGUUUUAAUGGAGGUGAUGAAUUCAAAGGGUUUGGUUGAGGGGUAUGUUGUCUGGCUCGAGGUCAUAAAGAUUGAAUUUUUUUCUUCUUCUUGUAUUGUUUACUUUCUUUUUUUUUUAGUAAAUUAUGUAUUGGUUUUUCCAUAUAUAUAAUUUGCAUAAAAAAAAAGGAAAAAAUAAGAGAGGAAAACCCUAAAAAUCUACAUGAUUCUCGGACCAGGCUUCAUUCCUCCCAACCCUCUAACUCUUUUGCUCAACUAUGUCAUAUUUCAAGAUUUAAGGUUGGAUGUAUUAAGAAGAUGGGUUUCCUUAACUCAGAUCUCGGUUUAAUCCCAUGGAUUAAUGACAACUAUUGGUAAAUAUUUUGGCUAAUUAUAUCAGGUUGAUCUUGGUUUCAGUACUCUUUGUUUUUGUUUAUAUUUUGAUUUUUGAAUUAUUUGUGUACAUUUGCUCUCUUGUUGUGAUUUGACAUCUAUUGAUGUAUAUUAUACAGCUCACAAGUCGCAGCUAGCGAUGUAUGUAUAUACGUAGCUUUUUAACAUUUUUAUAGGCCGGGUAUCUAAAUUUUUGAUGUAAUUUUGGUACAUAUUAUAGUGUUUUAACUAUUGAUGAAAUUAUUAGGUCACUUUUUAAUUUUUA